CUCUCUAUAUAUACACAAUUGAAGUUUAGGUGUCAGAUAAAUAGAGAAAAGAAAGGUUUCUUAUUAGAAUAUAAUAGCUAUUGUUCUGACGUUCUUUCCUAGCUACAGAAACAACAAGCCUCUCACUUUUCUUUCUGAUUCUCCGUCUCAAAACCAAGAAACCAUUAAUUCAUCGAUGCUGGCAAAACCACCAAGAACAUCAAUGACAAGUCAAGAUAACACUCAAAUGGAUCUUGAAAUCAAAACUUUACUCGUGCAACUGAACGGCAGGGUCACAAAUUUAGAAAAAAAGAUCACUUCUGCCGAGUCCUUCAAGGCAGAAAUUGAAGCUUUAGUGAAUGAAGCGAGGAAAUCUCAUCAUUCUAGCACUGCAAGAAGAAACCAUCUUGAUAAGGCAAGGCAAUUGCUGAUGCAAAAGAUUGAUGAAUUCAAGAAAGAAGAAGAUACCGAGGAUAGAGGACUCACAAAGACUGAUGCAAUGGGGGCUCCUUCCGAUCUUACAGGAAACUGUGUGUCAAUGGUUCAGAAAGAUCACAAACAAAUUCAGAUUCUAGCUACAGAAGUGGAUCGGUACAUUGCAGAGAUUGAUCGGAAGGUGAAUGUAUUAGAGGAUCCAUCCUACCUGACGGAAGAAAUCAGAGCACUGAAUGUAGAUCGAGUAAAAGCCGAGUCUUUAAAACUUUUUCUUCAAUCUAGUGAUAGAAAGAAGGAUCUUGAAGUAAGACGAAGGAUUGCUUACGUGAAUCAAUGGCUGAAUCAUAAGACGGAGAGCGAUAAAAUUGGAGACUCAAGGUCAGAGGGGUAUAUGUGAAAACUCUUACUGUGAAUUUUCUUGAGAUAUUUCUUUAUCAAUUGCUAUGGUUUUUCCUUUUUUAUGUUUACAGCAUCAAAUACUUUGUGCUUGUUGUCGAUGAUAACUGUGAAGAUCGAGAAACCCUUCGCGAACUCCUCAUGUCUAUUAAGUCAGAAAAGACGCCUACAAUGGAUGUUCAAGUGGCAAAAAAUGGAAAAGAAGCUGUUUAUCUUCAUCUUGCUGGGGCUUCCUUUGAUAUGAUUGUUAUGGACGAUUUAAUGCCCGUCAUGAAUGGAAUUGAGGCAACGAAGCAGCUAUUCGGCAUGGGUGUUAUCAGCUUCAUUGUUGGUGUCGGUGAUGACACCGUGAAACAAGCAUUUAUUGAUGCGGGCAUAGACCAAUACAUUGAAAAGCCUCUGACUCCUGCAAAGGUCGCUGAUCUCUUCCCUGAUCUCAGCGACUCAUACUUCGACCUUUAAGUGUUUCUCAGUCUAAUCCGUCUGCUUUUACUUGUCUUGGAAGGUUCUUAGUUGUAGAGAUGAACUCUAUGGAUAAAGCUCCUGGCUAGCUAGUUAUGCUAUGAGAUAAAUGAAUAGUUGCACUUCAAGCAGAGCUGGGAGGUGUUGUAUUGGCUUAGUUGUAAAAGAAAAGGAUGAAAGUUGUAGAAAUUUUUGGUAUUAGUAUUUCAUUGUUUUUGUGCUGAUGUUGAUCA